AUUGAACGCUGGCGGCAUGCUUUACAUAUGCAAGUCGAACGGUAACAGGGUGCUUGCACCGCCGACGAGUGGCGAACGGGUGAGUAAUGCGUCGGAACGUGCCGAGUAGUGGGGGAUAACGCAGCGAAAGUUGUGCUAAUACCGCAUACGUACUGAGGUAGAAAGUGGGGGACCUUCGGGUCUCACGCCAUUCGAGCGGCCGACGGCUGAUUAGCUAGUAGGUGAGGUAAAGGCCCACCUAGGCGACGAUCAGUAGCGGGUCUGAGAGGAUGAUCCGCCACACUGGGACUGAGACACGGCCCAGACUCCUACGGGAGGCAGCAGUGGGGAAUUUUGGACAAUGGGCGAAAGCCUGAUCCAGCCAUGCCGCGUGUCUGAAGAAGGCCUUCGGGUUGUAAAGGACUUUUGUCAGGGAGGAAAUCCCUAGUGCUAAUAACACUGGGGGAUGACAGUACCUGAAGAAUAAGCACCGGCUAACUACGUGCCAGCAGCCGCAGUAA
rnacentral:rRNA from 1 species